rnacentral:rRNA from 1 species
GACGGAGGGGGCUAGCGUUGUUCGGAAUUACUGGGCGUAAAGGGCGCGUAGGCGGAUUAGUAAGUUGGGAGUGAAAGCCCGGGGCUUAACCUCGGAACUGCUUUCAAAACUGCUAGUCUAGAGUGAAGUAGGGGGUGAUGGAAUUCCAGGUGUAGCGGUGAAAUGCGUAGAUAUCUGGAGGAACACCGGUGGCGAAGGCGGCAUCCUGGACCAAUUCUGACGCUGAGGAGCGAAAGCCAGGGGAGCAAACGGG